GCGAGUGAAGCGGCAAAAGCUCAAAUUUGAAAGCCUCGGCAUUGUAAUUUCAAGGAGCCAGACCACACCGACCAAAAGUCCAUUGGAACAUGGCGCCACAGAGGGUGACAGCCCCGUAGGUUUCGUGGUUGUGUCUGGCGCCGAAGAGUCGAGUUGUUUGGGAAUGCAGCUCUAACGGUGGUAAAUUCCAUCAAAAGCUAAAUACCGGCGAGAGACCGAUAGCGAACAAGUACAGUGAUGGAAAGAUGAAAAGCACUUUGAAAAGAGAGUGAAACAGUACGUGAAAUUGUUGGAAGGGAAGGGUUUGGGAGCAGACACGGUUCGGCCGGGCCAGCAUCAAUUGCGCGCGCGCCACAAAACGCGGAGAAUGUAAGCUUCGGUGGUUAUAGCUCCGCGGCAUAGCGCGUGCGCGAUUGAGGACAGCAUUUGAUUCAGGAUGCUGGCGUAAUGCUUCCAAACCGCCC
rnacentral:rRNA from 1 species